CUAGAUCACUUAAACCUUUUCCAACUAUUAAACGACUUGGAAUUAAUGCUUAUUUACUUGAGUUGUCAACACCAAUGUUAUCAAAACCGGCCCAGCCCGGCCGGUUCAACUGGUAAAAUCGGGAACCGGGUCCAAAACCAAUCCAAUCAUGCCCGAUUAACCGUUUAUGACUAAACCGCUUAAAAACCCAUCGAACCGGCCAAUUUAACCGUAAACCAGUCGCGGUUUUGUGGUUUUCCCAAUUUUGUGAUUAUUUGAUAUCAAAAUGCACUCAUUAUACUUAUGUUGAUUCAAGUUGCAUUUUGGUAGAAAAGGUGGAAGAUAGAAGAAAAGAGCAAAAAAGGACCAAAGUGGAAGAAAAUGAAAGUUCGGGGACUAAAGUGCAAAUACUCCAAACUUGUGUCUAACCUUAUGAUGAAGAUUCGGAUGUGUUAGAGGUCAAGUGGAUGAGAAAAAAAGUAAAAGGGAAGAAUACUGUCAAAGUUUCAUCACACAUCAAUUCCCAAUCGAAAAAAGUUACGCACAGUUUUCAACCUCAUAUUGGGACCCCUUUUUUUGACAUGUCUAACAAUCGAAUUGGAAGAUGACAUCUGAAGAAAAGUUGUAGCCCUUUAAGUUAGCUUUCCAACGCAACUUGAAUCACCUCAAUCAGACAUCGGGAGGGAAAGUUAUGGCCAAAAUACUAAAAACUGUCCGGCGGAGGAAAUUGUGACAACCAUGCGACCGCAUGGAUUACUACCAAGAACUUAUGGGGGCAUUUUGGCUGAACCAUGCGGCCGCAUGGUUAUUUUCCAAGGGCGAGAUCCCAGGUUCCUAUUUUGACGCGAACAUUUAUGAAAACUUGUUUGGCACACGUUUUAAGCCCUAAUCUCAUCCCAAAACGCCUCUACUCAUCCACACAUCAAUUUUCUUUGGUUUUUGGCUUAAUAAUUCCAUGAAGAACUAAAACCCCUGGUCAAGCUUGGAAGGAACUCAUUGGAUUUGAGGAAAUCACAUCAAUUGUUCAUGUAAUUUGGUAUUUUAUUGUCAAACAAUUCUAGAUUUUAGACUUUCUCCUUAUGAAUUGAUUUUAAAAUUGGUUUAAUUUUCAUUAGAUCUUUCAUAGAGUCAAUCAUGUUUUUUCUAUUGUUUGAUCGAAAUAUUUAUUGAGAUUGCAAUUUCAUUUAUGUUAUUGGUGGGUUAUUUAUGAUCUUAUGCUUGAAGUCUAUGGUUACUUUUGAUCUUACUCCAAUAACAAUUGUGUGAAUGUAUUAGAAAGUCUAAAUCUUAAAAUUACAAUUGGAAUUAAAGUGAUCUUUACUGUUAAAUCUUCUGAUUAGAGAGUUGGGAUGAAAACCUCUAAUUGAGUAAUAAUAUAUGAAUUGUUGAUGUUGAUCGAUCCAACCCAAUUGAGGGAAUCCCAAUGCUUCACUAAUUUCACAUAUUGAUAUUUAAAUUUCAUUCCAAAUUGAUAAACUAGUUUCACAUAACUCCCGAAACCCCUAAGCUUCUAAUCCUUUGAGCAUUUCCCAUCUUCAUGUGGAAUCAACACCCCAAGGUUAUAAUACAAUCACCGCGUUAUACUUUGAGCAUAAUCAGACAUCAUUAUCACCAGGUUCCUAAACAGGUUGAAACCUGACCUCAAACAUCGGGUGGUUGUGCUAAAUCCAGACUCCUAAGAAGAUGCUUUCCACGAGGUCCUCGAACAUGUGUCAUUUUCGUUACGCUCAUGCACGACGUGGCUCUUCUACCUUCCUCGAUCUUCACCAAAUGCAACCCUCCUAUCAGCACCCCUAGUAACGACCCUCGGCCCAACCAAGACCAAACCUGCAUAGCUGUCGAAUCCUCUACUCUAACUAUUCCUCGCGAUACCACGAGUUGUCCGCCUAAUUUGUAUAACUCCUCUCAAAGACCCACAUCUCAAUCUUAUGUCAUAAUUAUCAUAGUCGAGGACAUUUUGCCUCUUGAUGUCCCCAUCGUACCCUCGCCCUUAACCAGAAACCUAGGUUGUCGACUCUAGAGACUAACGAGUUUCAUGGUCGACCCUAUUGAUUCUGAUAAGAAUAUUAACCAAUUUAAAGAUUACAAGGAUGUCGCAGCUAUCUUAUCUGUUAUGAAUUGCAUUCCCUACCUCCUUGACUCUGAUUCGUGGAAACAGGCUUCUUUCACGCUUACAUCCCUUGCAUCGCUUUUGCAAGUUAGUAAUUGAGGUGGUAGCACCAUGAAUGUCAUCUCCAAGUCUGCAGUGGCCACGUUCUACUUUAAACCUGAACCACACCCUCAACCUUUCAAGUUCGCUUGGGUUUAUUGUACUUCCCUUCUAGUUACUCAUCUUUGUUUGGUACCACUUAAGUUGGGCUCAUUCUUCUUAGAAAACAUUUACUACGAUGUCCUACCUAUGGAUAUCACUCAUAUCCUCUUAAGGUAUCUCUGGCUUUACAACGAUGUUAAGCACUUCAAGCGUAACUACUUAAGAGUUUGUUCAUAAUGGCAAACCCAUUCGUCUCCUUCCUACGAAGCACUCUAACUCCCGAAGAAAUCAACUCCCAUCUCAACAUCCACAAGUGUUGCUGACACUUGAAUUCAACUUUUGUCCCUUAACGACUUUGAGCGUGAGGGUCAUGACACCGGGCUUGUGUUUGCCUUGGUUGCCAAACCAUCUUCAUAUUCCAAUUUGACUCCUAUAUCGACUUUCCACAUGAGGUAAAUCCUUUGUUACAUAAGUUUAGUGAUAUCUCCCUUGUCGACCUCCUCGACGAGUUUCCUCCUUUGUGGGAUAUUGAACAUGCCACGGGCAAGUUAAACUUAACUAGAUAGAGGUUUUAUUCGCCUUAACCUUAGCCCUUGUGUGGUCCCAGUUUUACUCACCGUAAAAAAAGAUGGCUCUUGGCACAUGUACGUCGAUAGUCGUGCAAUCAACAAAAUCAUUGUUAAGCAUCGAUUUCUUAUUCCGCAUCUUGAGUAUAUGUUAGAUGAAUUGGCAAGGUCUGUGUGAUUUUCCAAGAUUGAUUUAUGGAGUGGUUAUCAUCAAGUCAGAACUCGACCAUGGGACGAAUUGAAUACAAUAUUUAAAACUCAAGAUAGUUUGUACAAGUGAGUUAUGCCUUUUGAGAUGUCGAAUGCACCUAGGACUUUUAUGCGUGUCACGACCCAUGUCUUACAACCUUUUAUUGUUAAGUUUCUGGUGGUCUAUUUUGAUGAUAUUUUGAUUUAUAGUUGGUCAUAAGAGGCACAUUUUUUUUUAAUCAGCUCUAUUGUCCGUGUAUUAUCGUCAAAACAGCGGCUAUUUCCCUCCCCCCACAUUCACCAGAUAAUGCAUCCUGAGAUAAGGUCCCAAACUAUCCUUACUCUUUGUUCGGCACGGUUAUAUGCUAACCCUAAAAAGUGUUCAUUCCUACAAUCUCAAGUUCUCUUUCUAGGGUUCAUCAUUUCCACCCAAGGUAUUUGUGCUCAUCUAACUAAAAUAUCGGUUAUUCGCAACUAGCCUGAACCUACAACAUUAUUUGAGGUGUAGAUAUAGGUGGUGUCUUAAGUCCGGAUGGUAACCCCAUUGCCUAUUUUAGCGAAAAACUAAAUUAGGCUCGACAAAAGUAUUCUACCUAUGACAAGUUCUAUGUCGUUGUCCAAUCUCUCCAUCAUCGGCAAUAUUAUUUAUUGCCUCAAGAGUUUGCUCUCUAUUUUGAUCAUCAAGCUCUUCGCUACCUUAAUUCCUAGCGUAAUUUAAGUAAGCGCCAUGUUAAGUGGGUUGAAUUUCUUCAAGAGUACACGUUUGUUCUCCAUAACCUAGCUGGGUCGCAAAUAAAGCAACCGGCGCAUGUAAUCGUAUCACUACGGUGCUUCAUUCUGUGGGCAAUACUUUGGUGGAUUUUGAGCGCCCGAAUAAUGAUUAUUCUAGUUAUCCUGAUUUUUGCAUGAUCUUUCAAGAACUCUUGGAUAGUCCUUCUCAAGAUUAUGUUGCUUUCUUACUUAAAGAUGGUUAUCUUUUUAAAGGCACGAAGUUGUGUUCCCCAUACCUCAGUUCGUGACUUUCUGAUAUGGGAACUACAUGCAAGGGGUCUAGCUAGUCAUUUUGGUCGAGAUAAAACUAUUGCUUUAGUUGAGGAUCGAAUUUAUUGGCCUUCACUUAAAAAGGAUGUUGUUGGCACUGUUUCUCGGUGUCGCCGAUGUUAAUUAGGCAAAGCUCAACGUUAAAACACCGGUAUGUAUACUCUCCUUCCUGAGACACUUUGGAAACUGUUUGGAAUGACACUCAAGUUUUCAUCCGCAUUCCACCUCCAAAUCGACAAUCAAACUAAGGUUGUGAAUCGUAGUUUAGGUAAUCUACCCAAUUGCUUGGUUGGGUAUAAACCGGGUAAUUGAGAUAUUAUGUUGCCAACUCUAAGUUUGCUUACGAUAAUUCAAUGCUGUCAUAACCCAUUCGAGCUCCCCAUCAGCUAAUUGAUCUUGUCCUUUUGCCUAUCAAUUUUUGGCCUGUUUCAUCCACUCAAGCUUUAGUUGAUCAUAUUCUCAGCAUGCAUGAUGAGAUUAAACGUAAAAUUCUUUAAGUAAUGAUCUCUAUAAACUUACGGUUGACUCUCACCAUCGGCACAAAGAAUUAAUGUAAGCGACUAUAUCGUCAUACAAAUUACAACUGAAAGAUUUCCUAAUCAAGUUGCAAAGAAACUUUGUGCUAGAUCACUUAAACCUUUUCCAACUAUUAAACGACUUGGAAUUAAUGCUUAUUUACUUGAGUUGUCAACACCAAUGUUAUCAAAACCGGCCCAGCCCGGCCGGUUCAACUGGUAAAAUCGGGAACCGGGUCCAAAACCAAUCCAAUCAUGCCCGAUUAACCGUUUAUGACUAAACCGCUUAAAAACCCAUCGAACCGGCCAAUUUAACCGUAAACCAGUCGCGGUUUUGUGGUUUU
rnacentral:lncRNA from 1 species